rnacentral:lncRNA from 1 species
CCCACUCGGUCUCAUGGGCCUCGCUCCUGCUACCCAGCGUCGCGUUCUAGACCUCGACGCCGUCCGUCAUACGACCUUCCGCUUCCUCCGCCGAGCAUGCUCGUUCCUGACUUCCCUUCUGUGUAAAGGCUGGAAAGUUGUCCCGUGGGCUUAGCUUUCUCCCUCUACAUACCAUCCGCGUCCUCCGACUGGUCGUGCGUGGAGCUUCUACAACCUCAGGUGGCAUCUGGCUUCUGCGCAGGCCACAUCCCAUCCGCCCAUAAACAGGAAGGAAGACGUCGCCGCCUAGAUUCACCAAACGAACUGACCGACCUUUGUCUCGAUCCUCCUAUCAUGCUCCGACCAGCUCGUCUCCUCAGGUAUGUCUCCACUCCGCCUCUUUGUUUCGCUCCAUGCUCCAUCCGAGGAGCUCCUUCUCAGGAGAGGACUAUGAACGGGAGCCAAAGUGCCCCAGCUAGCGAGACAACGGCUUCACCAUAAGCCAGAACGUUCCAAGCUCCCGAUCAUCUCUCAUGGGAUGCAUGCCAUGUCAGCCCAACUGGUCCUGUCUCUCGCGACUGUAGAAAGGCAGCAACAUUUCCUUACUACUUAGUAUUUGCAAUAACUAUAUAUUUGUGGGGGGAAAUGUUUUUUAUGCUAUGAAUUUUAGGAUUCCAAUUUGUUGCUCACUUGCUCGUGUAUGAUCGUGUAUGAUGUACUGAUUAGUUGCUAGCUUCCCACUCGUGUAUCCACAUGAUUCAACUCCAUUUAGAUAUUCAUUAUGACGUGUGUGGCUGAGAUAUAUAUCUAUGUCCUAUUUUUUGUUCUUGAAAGUAGUAUCCACGUGUUCUAGUUUCUUGUUGGUAUCGAUGUCAUUUAACAAUAUGAGUUCAUUGUAGUACUAACAUUCUUUGGGAGCUUUACAUAGAUUGCGUCUGAACACCAUGUUAUAUGUGAUGUAUUGGAUCGUUAAACAAUACAGUAAAAACCUUACAUUUCAUACGGCCAAAGCCGUUGACAUAAGCCCUAAGCUGUCGGAAAUAGCUUAUUUCCGACGGCCGAAGGCUUAAUGUUCGACGGUACUUGUCCCUCGGUCGUAACGGGUCGAAAAUAAGCUUAUUUCCGACGACCGCCGUCGAAAAUAAGCUAUGUCUGAUGGACAAAAGGGGUCGUUGGCAUUUAACCGCGAUAACGGCUGAAACUGUCGUUGGUGGGACCCACGUCUCUUAUGUCCAACGCAUUAGCGGGAUCAUCGGAGAUAAGGCCCUAUUAUGUCUGACGGCCUCUGGGGAGGCGCCGGCGGCUGGGGCGAUGCGGGGUCAACGAAUGAAACUGAAAUGGUGCAGGCGGGCACGCGGCGCGACGGCUGCCUUGGGCCGUCAAAUAUAAUGUUAGAUCCGACAGCCGCCUAGGAGGUCAUCAGACGUAAUAUAGCCGUCGGAACUAUAUCGUUUUACUGUUGUGAAAAUCAGUUAGCACUUGUAUGCACCAUGCAUACAAGUGACUAGAUAACACACUUGGUUGACAGUUAACGACCCCGUCCACUUCGACGUAGGUCGCCGCCUCAAUGCCUCUCUUAUCGAGCUCUUCAUCCGCGAGUCUGAGGCCCUUAAGUCCAAGGUACUACAAUUCCUCUCCUCAUGUUCUUACUAGGAGAGUGCCCGUGCGUUGCAACGGGAACAUAUAAUACCAUGAUAACUUAUAUACAAGAUGUGUCUUAUAUUGUUAUAAGAAAAUGUUUCCUAAUCCAUUUGUGAUCCUGACCAUACAUAAAUUUUGUUAUUUAAUUUAGUUGUUUCACUACUACAUUGCAACCAUCAGUAUCAUGCAGACUUCAAUAUAUGCCACAAUUUGCAUGGUCUCAUCAUUGGAUAGCACGUGCCACACCUGCCGGUAGAAGUUCCCUCGUACAUCGUCAGUCAUCAGGCACGCACCACCAUUCACGCUUGCUUAAACAAAAAAGCAAGUAUGUGUGUUUGCGAAGAGAAUUAAAGACAUGCCGGCACAAAAGCUACCCCAACGAUGGUGAGUGGUCAUUGUUGUCGGUCCUCCUCUAUGUCAUCUCCGGCGCCGAGAUGACGUCACAGUCCUUGAAAUAGUAGUCGUCGAACGCGUGUGUCAUGGCGAGUACCGAUGAUUCUUGGAUGGGCUGCCAAACGAAGUGCACCCCGGUCUCAUCAGCGAGGUAGUACAUCUAGCCGUUGCACCACCGGAUGUGCUACUCCUCUACAUAUAUCUUGUUCGAGGACACUCACACAACGUCAGCAACGGUCGUCGUCCCAGCGUAUAAGAAUUCAUAGCCGGUCAGUAGCGACUUACGUGGCAGGUUGGGCUUCAGGUGGAUGAUGAGCUGGACGUCGUGAUGGCGCCAUCAUCGGAUGCGGUGCCUAGAACAACCUGAGAGUCGCCGGCGUUGGCGACGACCAUGAGGUCCCCCUGUUUGACGAUGGACAGCGCGGUGUAGCCGCUCUAGACCGCGUCCAUGCGACGGCUGCGCCGGAGCUUGCCAUACACAGCGGCGCAUACAGCCAUGUAGGACUGCUUCCAGAGGUCGAACUGGCAGUCGCCAAGCUUCUUCUCGUCGUCGAUGAGCGACGCCAACGCGAGCGCCUCCUGCUAGUGGUGUUUGUUCGGGGUUUCCAAGUAAGAAACAUGGAUUCAUAUUUGGCGUUGGUUUAUAAAAAUGACUCAUAAGUCAGAUCCAUGGAAAAAUAUUACAGAGAAUAAAUGUCACACAUGCAAAAAAGGAAUUUAAGUUGAAAACAUUAUUCAAAUAAAAAAGUUUGCAUGCAAGGCUCUUCUUUGAAUACUACUCCCUCCAUCCAAAAAUAUAAUUCAAGAAUCUCGGUGAUACUUAUCUACUACUACACAUUGUGCAAGGGUAGCAGGUGGGCUUCGGGAGAGAUGUAGUAGAUUUACUGUAAUAGAUGUAGACAUAAACACACAUGUGGUGUAAUGGUAGCUACGAGCACAUUUGCUUGAGGGGUCGUGGGUUAAAAUCCCCUUAAGGCCAUUUGUGUUUUUUUAAUUUAAGUUUAGCUAGACGUGGGAAUGAGAAUGGGUUUUGUGGGGAGGGGGAAUGAGAAAGACAGAAACAAGGAAUGAGAAUGAGAGAAUAGACAGAACGGGAAUGGUGACAGAACAUGAGAAUAGACUGUGCGGUGAGGGGGAAUGGGAAAAACAGAACAUGAAAUGGCAGCCUACUCCUUACUGCCUUAAUAAGUAUUAGAGAUUUCAGCUUUGGAAGUAUAAUUCACUUUUAGUUUUUUUCCAAACAGUAAAGAAGAAAAGUCAAUUGUCGAGCACCAUUUUUUCUUGCUAAUUAGUUGCUCGCGAUCUUUGUUACUAUCUGCAUGUGGUCGGCCAUCCAUCAAUAUGAGAGUACUUUCGUCAUAUAUAACUAUAUAUUUAAAUAAUAUAUUGUUGUCUUUUUUUUGCUUCGAUAUUGUAACUAUCAUGCCUACUAAUAUAUUUCAGAAAAGCAUUUUGAAAAUAAUGUAUAUUUGUGACUAGACAAAGUAGUUUUUUGGUUGGGAUUUGGAUACAGACCACUGUGCCAUAAAGCAUGCUUUAAUUCCUAAAAGCAAACUAUCUUUGCACUGCAACUGCCAUUAGCGUCAAGCAACACGAAUUACCUGAACUAUGACAAAAGAUAUGAAGUGAGUGCUGAGUUGCUGCUCAACUUUUUCAUAGGCCAGAAGGUACCAAAGCCUACAAAGGAUUCCAUUUUUCAGUUACAGAGUUCCUUUCACUUUGGGACCUCCAAACAACUUCAUAAGUGUAAGCAUCCUAGAGCCAUUAGCCAUGAACAAUUAUUUUUUUAUGGAAAAGGCAAGAGCUCUGCUGCUUAAUUAAGUGAGAAAAAAGAGGUUUAUUUACAAAUGGGGUUGAUUUAUGGUUUUUUGCACAUGACAAGUUUUUGUUGGGUCUGACUUAUUCUAUCUAUAUAUCUAUGGAAGCCUGUUAGAUGCCAAUGUAACUUUUUUAGUUUGGACAAACAGAUGCUCUUGCGAUUUGUACCUGAUACGGUUGGUUGGCAUAAUUGAGUGCCGCUUUGAUGUAGUCGUUAGGUCUCAGUUGUAACCUGCAUCAAUUCUAAUGUAAUUCACAUCAUGAACCGCUUAUGUUGAACUAAUUUUUGGUGCUCAUAAUUUAUCAUGGAAGUUACUUUUUGAGGCUACUUGCAGUGGCUUUUUAAUUUUUUUAUUAUUAUUAUUAUUAUUAUUAUUAUUAUUAUUACUUGACAUUACGAUAUUUUUAUAUAUCGGUGAGGUGCAUGUCGAAGGACUGGAAACAACUUGAAGGCAAAUGAGCGUUUCACGGAGCAAGGAUGUGACGGAACCUCCUAAGUCAUUAGGCCCACCUACAGUUCUCCUUGUCCAAUGGACCUUGGGCAACUGUAACACCCACUUUGUAAGAAAGGUCUAGAAAGAGAAAUUAUAUUACUUUAUAACUAUAUGAGUUAUCUAUGUUUCUCAUUUCAUGUGAACACCAUAAUUAAACAAAUAAAUAAAUGACAAGAGAUACCCAACAAAACUUGCCUCAUGUUGAGUUUUUACUUGAUUGUGCAUUAGUGGUUAAUAAACUAAAUGUGUCAUUAAUAGCAUACCAAUGGAUCCGUAGAAUUUAAACUCUAACUUGAAAAUAAAACCAUGAAAACAGAGGAGAGAAAGGAAUAUUGUUCAAUACAAAUAAAAUUAUAAUUUAAUAACUUCAUCAUAGUUGGUAUGAUCAAAAUAAAUAAUUAACCAGUGUACAAAGUGCCACAAAGUUUGAAUUUGAAUUAAUGUUUGAAAUUGGAAAGAAGGGAAAAGACAAAAGAAAAGAAAGUAAAAGAAAAAAAAAGAGAAAACCUUGUUGGGCCCUUAACCUCAAUUCAGCCCAUCAUCAUUUUACUCCCGCGCGUAGCCCACUCUACUCGCCGGUACCGACACAUGGGGCCCCCAGGCAAUCACCCACUCACCGCGCACCCUCAAAGCCGCUGCGUCGGCAGGUAGGCCCGCCUGGUCAGCCGCACCCGAGGGAUUUGGACACGCUCAUCCCACUGUGUGUUGGGGCCCGCGUGUCAUCCCUACCGUAGACGCGACAACCACUCGAGCGCACAGCGCAGAACUUCUCCCCCUUCUCUCGGAGCUGCCGAUCCACACCUCCGAGUCCGUAGGUUUGAGGCAAUAAAUACAGACCUCGCCCAAUUCUUCCCCGUGCUUCCACCGCUAACCCUCGCCGAACCGCCGCUCGUAAUUGAGAGAAAGAAGGAGUCACCGGCAACAGGAAAGAGAAGGUCCGCCGCCGCUGCUUGAUUCGUACAGACGCCGCGCGUGUGGUUCUGCACCUGGGCGGGAGGUAUCUCCGUGUUUCUGUGGAGCUUCCGUGUACCUCGCGGAGGCAGUGCUCCACUGUGUGACCCUUAAUUCCUCACCGGAAUCACUGGUCCGUCGCUGAACAGACGUCGCCGUGGACUUCACCACUGCACCCUCGGAAUGCCGGUAAGAACCUCCUCUGGUUGUUCGCAUCGCUAUACACAUGGCAGGGACAUAUGCAAUUUAGGAAGUAGGGGCUAGGGGCGUGUGUUGGGGAAGCUCGUCGGCGUUCCCCGCCGCGGUGGCCGCUUUCUUCGGUGGCCGCGGGAAGGAGGUAGGAGAUGUAGUGGCCACCGUCCUUGGUUUGAUGGGCGGUGCAGAUCAAUCCAGGAAGUAACCUUUCGCAGGGGCGAUCUGGUCCGUUAGAUCAUAAAUGGACAGCCGCAAUGUGAUCCUAACGUUUUAAAUCCAAACCGUCGAUGCCCGAUCUCGUGGCUGUGGUUGCGUACCGGUUCGCGGUGGGACGUAUCUAAUCCGGACCGUCCGCUGUUGAUCUCGCGGCCGAAAACCACUGAUACCCCUUCACGUUGGCCUUUUUGCUAAAGAAACCCUUUACUUUUCAAGAAUAGAACCCGCAGUCCAGUGUAUAGUGUUCUGGGUCUAGGAUUUAAUUGCGCAGGGGUCCCUGCCUUUCUCAGUAUUGGUGCGCCCAGUCCAGAGCUGUUUAAAAUGGAAUAAUUGAAUUGGAAAACAGGUUUUUAAUACAAAAAUAUAUGCUAGAACUUUAAUAAUUCAUAGAGAAUUCAUAUGAAGUCCAAAUUUACCCAUUCUAGUUUCUAAAAUUUUGUAAUAUUAUUAUUUAUCACUUAGAGUAUCGUUUUUGACAUUAAAACAGUCAAAAAAUUUAAAUCUCAUUUAAUCAUAUUCCAAGCAUAUAAAACCUUUGAAAAUUCAUAACUUAAAAUCUAUAACUCCAAAAAAUUAUGAUUUCUGUUCCUAGGUUUUUAUUUUUAUGUAUAGAUUAUUACUGUGUAUUUUGUUUAUAUGUUUGGUGUGAUGUUAAUUUUCUCUAUGUAUUGUGCUUGUUUGUAUUGUGGCGAGUAGAAGAAUUUGUGUCUGAGGAUCCUGGUGAGCAGGAGAUAGAAGUAGCUGAGCAAGAGCUCAUUGAAGGCAAGUUGUGCCAUUGACCACUUUUUACCCAAUAAUGUUCUUAAUGUCACUUAUUCAUGCAUAGGUUAAUUUUGAUGGGACCCGAUAGGUUGCCCUGGAUUGUUUAUCUCAUUACCUUAUUUACCUCUGAAUCACUUGGGUAGUUUGCUAAUGCUUUACAUGGUUUUGGGAUAAUCAUUUAUUAUGUCUAUGUUCCAAUUCUUUUGUUAUUCUAUUUAUGUUCAUGUCAAGAUCAUUAAUGUUAAUUGGAACAUAGAGCUUAACUUGAGUAACACGUGCCACCACAAGGGAUUAAUGGAACGCCCUUGGCUGACUAAUUAGGAAAGCUAGUGGAAGAUUACCUUACCCGAAAGGGGCAAGGGCAGUAGGGGAGUUGCUUGCAAGGAGGUUCUCGGGUUGAUUUAGCUGCGAUGGCGGUCAGACGGGGGAUUCUUGCAAGUGCUCUUCCCAUAAACUGUAGCGGGUUUUCGAAAGCUAGUGGAACUUUAUAAAGGCCUCGUAGUGUUGCCCUGCCUCGCCUCCUAAGUAGAGGUGUAUGGGAGUCGUGACCCCUUGGCAGAUGGGUAACAUGACUUGUGGGUAAAGGGUACAACCUCUGUAGAGUGUAAAACUGGUAUACUAGCCGAGCUCACGGUCAUGAGCAGCUCAGGACUCUCUGAUGAUUAAAUUAUGGAACUUAAAUUCAAUUUUGUCAUUUGCAUUGCAUGGGUUUAUUAUUAAUUUUGUUCGAUUACUUUAUUUAAGGUUUGGUAUUUACUUACACUUAGUAACUGCUAAUAAAAUUUUGACCAACUACUUAAAAGCAAUGCUCAGCUCUAACCCCUGUCAUUGAUUAGCCUUACACAUCACAUGAACUCCCACCUUUGUGAGUUCAUGUCCACUGGUUCCCCACAACUUGUUGAGCUAUGAUCAUGUGUGAGCUCACCCUUGUUGUCUCACACCCCCCAUAGGAGAAGAACAGGUGGUUCAGGAGGAGCCACAAGGUGAGGAGUUUGAUCUGAUCUAGGUGGCGUUUCUGAGUUGGCAUUGGUACCAAUGACGAUCCUUAGUUCAUUUUUAUCUUCUAUUUUGUAAUAAGACUUCUGCUAUGUAUUAAAUACUCUGAUGUUAUUGUGACAUUUUUCUCUAUACACUUUGUUAUUAUAUAUGUUGUCUUCUUGGCGCAUGUAUGAGAUGCACCUGGCUUUGUUCCUUAAAGUCGGGUGUGACAGAAGUGGUAUCAGAGGAAAUGUUGACUAUAGGACGAAGCCUAGAUAGAAAUAGACAAACCCUUACCUACUUAUCUUACACUGAUUCAUUCUAUACUUAUCUCACUAUGAUUCUUUCUAUACUUGUCUUUCUCCUGUCUCACCUUUUGUUGUUCUACUCUGAUUACUCUUAUCUUUUCUACUUCAAGACAUGAUGGAUUUCACACCUUGGAAUCCUACAUUUAUGAACUUUUUAAGAGAUAGGAGACAUAAGACAAAAAAUAAAACUAUUUUCUCUAUUAAAAAAAUGUUGGUUGAUUGUUCUGAUGAUAAAUGCUUGAUUUGCUUCUUUGAUUGAUUGAAACAUUAUAGUUGGGCAUCUUAGCAUGUACCACCAUAAGGUAAUGUAUUAGCUUUAGGGGAUAACACACUAAUCUACUUAGCUAUUAAAUCCUUCAAAGUAACAUGCCUUGUAAUUACAUGCCUUGUCUACAAUCCUUUCUUUCGUACCAUGUGUUUCUAACCCAGAUGGGCUACCCCUAUAGUGUUAGAAGAGAGCACUAUAGACGUGAUCCUUGGUAUGUCAUGGUUAAGAAAGGCAAAGACAAUUUAUACACUAUGCUGAAGGAACCGUAGAACUCACCAGUUCCAAAGGACAAAGAUUUGAAGUUGGAGUUGCAGUAACUACCACCAUCAGACUAGCGACAUUCUUAGUAGAUGAGAAGUUGGUGGGUGACAACAUCCGUGCAGUUAGGGAUUUUUCGGAUAUCUUUCCAGAGGAGUUAUUAGGGAUGCCACCAUAAGGGAAGUUGAGUUUGUCAUUGAUCCCUUACCUGGGCUGCCCCUACUUUCAAACGGCCAUACAGGAUAUCUGUAGAAGAGUUAAAGGGACUGAAGAAGCAGUUAACGGAAUUACAAGAGGCUGGGUACAUUCGUUCGAGUUCUUCACCUUGUGGAGCACCAGUUCUAUUUGUACAGAAGAAAGAUGGAUCGCAAGGGAUGUGCGUAGAUUAUAGAUCACUUAAUGAUGUUACUGUGAAGAACAAGUAUCUGUUACCCCGUAUUGAGGAUUUAUUUGAUCAGAUGAGAGUUGCUAGGGUAUUCUCGAAGAUUGAUCUCUGAUCCGGUUACCAUCAGAUGAGGAUUAGACCAUCGGAUAUCCCCAAGACAACAUUCUCGACCCGAUAUGGAUUAUAUGAGUUCACUGUUAUGUCAUUUGGACUAACUAAGGCACCAGCUUAUUUUAUGAAUUUGAUGAACAAGGUGUUUAUGGAGUAUUUGGACAGAUUCGUCAUGGUAUUCAUCGAUGAUAUUCUUAUUAUUCCAAGAGUGAUAGUGAUCACGAGGAACAUCUGAGAUUGGUGCUACAGAAGCUACGGGAUAACCAACUAUAUGCCAAGUUUAGCAGGUGCGAGUUUUGGAUUGGCGAGGUGCCAUUUCUUGGUCAUAUUAUUUCUAAUGGAGGAAUAUCAGUGGAUCCUGCUAAGGUUAAGGAGAUAAUGGAGUGGAGAGUACCCACUACAGUUACUGAGAUUCGGAGUUUCUUGGGACUAGCAGGAUAUUAUCGGAGAUUUAUUGAAGGAUUUUCUAAGAUUGCUAAGCCUAUGGCCUCGCUUCUGGAGAAGGACAGAGAAUUUAAGUGGGACGAGAAGUGCCAAGAUAGUUUUGAUCAAUUAAAGAAGAGAUUGAUGUCGCCACCAGUGUUGGUUAUGCCAGACCUACAGAAGGGAUUUGAUAUUUAUUGUGAUGCAUGUGGCCAAGGCUUGGGAUGUGUACUCAUGCAAGAAGAACAUGUGAUUGCCUAUGCUUCUCGUUAGUUACGGAGACAUGAAUUGAACUACCCCACCCAUGGCUUAGAAUUGGCAGCCGUUGUGCAUGCACUUAAGAUUUGGAGACAUUACAUUAUGGGAACCAAGUGCCAAGUGUACACGGAUCAUAAGAGUUUGAAGUAUAUAUUCACUCAGAAGGAUCUCAACCUUAGGCAACACCGUUGGUUGGAGCUUAUUAAAGAUUAUGAUUUGGAGAUACACUAUCACCCGGGCAAGGCAAAUUUGGUUGCAGAUGCCUUGAGCGCAAGGAGGAUGUUCAUUCAACUAUUGUUGCCCAGCUACCUGAGGAGAUUGUUGAGGAUUUCAGGAGACUUAACCUGGGGAUAGUUGCUCACACUGAAGGAGUUACUAUUGAUGUGGAGCCUACUUUGGAGCAAGAAAUCCGCAAAGGACAAAUUGGUGAUGCUAAGAUACAAGAGAUUAAGGGUCUGAUUACUGAAGGUCGAGGUCCGGAAUUCACGGAAGAUGAGCAAGGCACUGUGUGGUUCAAGGACAGGAUAUGUGUUCCUGAUAUUGAAAGCCUUCGUGAGACUAUUCUAAAGGAGGCCCAUGACUCGGAUUAUUCUAUUCAUCCUGGUAGUACCAAGAUGUAUCAGGAUUUGAAAAGGAAGUAUUGGUGGUAUGGAUUGAAGAGAGAUGUGGCUACAUGUGGUUAAGUGUGAUGUGUGUCAAAGAGUGAAGGCUGAACACCAGAGGCCAGCUGGACUAUUGCAUCCACUGAAGAUACCCGAGUGGAAGUGGGAAGAGAUUGGUAAGGACUUCAUUACUGGAUUGCCUCGCACCUCGAAAGGAUGUGAUUCUAUAUGGGUUAUUGUGGAUAGACUGACCAAAGUGGCUCAUUUCAUUCCGGUCAAGACUACUUAUAAGGGAUCUCAAUUGGUAGAGUUAUAUAUGACUCGUAUUGUGUGCUUACAUGUAGUACCAAAGAAGAUCGUUUUGGAUAAGAGGAUCACAGUUUACCCCCAGAUUUUGGAAAAGUUUUCAUGAGAAUAUGGAUACGAGGUUGAAUUUUAGUUCGGCCUAUCAUCCUCAGACUGAUGGACAGACUAAAAAGGACUAAUCAAGUAUUGGAGGACAUGUUGAGAGCUUGUGCCCUUCAGCAUGGUAGUAGUUGGGACAAGAGUCUACCUUAUACUGAGUUCUCAUAUAAUAAUAGUUACCAGUCCAGUCUGAAGAUAUCACCGUUCGAGACUCUGUAUAGCAGGAAAUGCAGGACUCCUCUAUAUUGGAUCAGACUAGGGGAAGAUAGUUCUUUGGACCUGAACUGAUUCAAGAAGCAGAAGAGCAAGUCCGUAUAAUUCGAGAGAAUUUGAGGGUAGCUCAAACCAGACAAAAGAGCUAUGCUGAUAAUAGGAGACCACUGAAAUUUGAGGAAGGAGAUUAUGUGUACCUCAAGGUGUCACCACUUCGUGGAAUGAGGAGAUUCAAAGUUAAGGGCAAAUUGUCCCCUCGCUAUAUUGGACCAUUCUUGAUCUUUAGGCGAGUUAGGGAGAUGGCAUACCAACUCGAGCUACCUGCUAGCCUAUCAGAUGUGCAUAAUGUGUUCCACGUGUCUCAACUUAAGAAGUGUCUCCGUGUCCCCGAGGAACAGUUACCAAUGGAAGAGCUAAGUGUUCAGGGUGAUUUGACUUACACGGAGUACCCGAUCAAGAUUCUUGACACAUUGACUCGAGUUACAAGGAAUAAGGUGAUAAAGAUGUGUAAAGUGCAAUGGAGUCACCACGGACAAGAUUAAGCUACAUGGGAGAGAGAAGAAGAGCUUCGCAUAGAUUUUCCUCACCUUUUCCCUAGAUCUUCUUAAAUCUCGAGGACGAGAUUAUUUUUAAGGGGGGUAGGAUUUGUAACACCCACUUUGUAAGAAAGGUCUAGAAAGAGAAAUUAUAUUACUUUAUAACUAUAUGAGUUAUCUAUGUUUCUCAUUUCAUGUGAACACCAUAAUUAAACAAAUAAAUAAAUGACAAGAGAUACCCAACAA